rnacentral:rRNA from 1 species
AGUGAACGCUGGCGGUAGGCCUAACACAUGCAAGUCGAACGGCAGCACAGUAAGAGCUUGCUCUUACGGGUGGCGAGUGGCGGACGGGUGAGGAAUACAUCGGAAUCUACUUUUUCGUGGGGGAUAACGUAGGGAAACUUACGCUAAUACCGCAUACGACCUACGGGUGAAAGCAUGGGAUCUUCGGACCUUGCGCGAUUGAAUGAGCCGAUGUCGGAUUAGCUAGUUGGCGGGGUAAAGGCCCACCAAGGCGACGAUCCGUAGCUGGUCUGAGAGGAUGAUCAGCCACACUGGAACUGAGACACGGUCCAGACUCCUACGGGAGGCAGCAGUGGGGAAUAUUGGACAAUGGGCGCAAGCCUGGUCCAGCCAUACCGCGUGGGUGAAGAAGGCCUUCGGGCUGUAAAGCCCUUUUGUUGGGAAAGAAAAGCAGCAGGUUAAUACCCCGCUGUUCUGACGGUACCCAAAGAAUAAGCACCGGCUAACUUCGUG